GUACGUGUGUGCCACGCGUGUACAGCUCGAGCCCGCGGUAGUUUCUUCACUCAUUUGAUGGCGCGCGCUUCGGGAAGGAACGCGUCCCAAUAUCUAAUCGCCUGUAAAACGUAAACUUUAGUUAGAAGCACAUGCUUAGAAUCUACUAAUCUAUAUAUAUCUAUACGUGAAGCAAAAACUUUGUAUCCUUUUUUACGAAAAUUGCGCGGACGGAGAAUACAUCCCUACUCAUACAAGUUUCACUACUGAUGCGGACCUUUUGGCGGGAAAGCGAGGAGUGAGGUUGUGUGAUUUGUUUUAUUUUGUCUAUUUAGUGUUUCUUCAGAUUUAAAUGUGUAAUAACGGUGGUUUUAUAACUGUUUACUGAAACAAAGCCGCUGGACGUAACUUUGCGGGAUCCUCCAAAAAGUCCACUGAAAAAAUCUCAGUAAAUGACCACCAUUUUACCGAGAUUAUAUUUCAUUCCAUCUCAUCUCAUUUCAUGCCAUGUUUCAUAUUAAUCAACUUCGUUUCAUUUCAUAAUAUAAUUUUUCAUAUAAAAAAGUUUUCAUUCAAAUAAAAAUAAGAUUUGACCUAAAAGUUUUAGUUACCAGGUCAUAAAAUCCCUUAAAAAAACUGUCUAUUGCUGACGCAUUACUAAAUCCAGUAAGUACGCGUGCUGCGUAUUGACAGCCCUGACCUGAGCUUGAUGCUUCAUGUGUUCCUCGAGGUAGUGCAGCAGCGUCGCCCGCAACUCAUCGACCCGGAUCUCCUCCCAUCGCUCGAUUUCCUUCUUGAUGACGCGCGAUAUCGAGUCGAACUCUUGUUGAUUGCGUUCGACUUUUGUUUCCCACUGUAUUAAAAAAAAAAUAUACAGGAUUUAAUUAAAGUGUUUUAAGUCGAAAAAAAAGGCAAUGUUAGACGAUCGCUUUUAUUAGCUUCAUGCAUAUGUUAGUAUGUAGUUGAACAUGAUUUUGACCUACUUCAAAACGUCGGAUUAACUCGAAAUUUGGCGUACUUAUAAAGGACCGAUGACAAUUUAAUAUUUUUAAGCAGUUAGACCCGUUAUUUACUUUAAACAGUCGAAACAACAAAUUUAUUUGAGCACCUUAUUUUUUUUACCUAAGCAAUUUGGAAACUGUUGUAUUUGCCUGAAGGUACGAUAAUGAAUAAUUUAUGAUACCGUAUUAAACUAAUACCAUUAUGAUACCGUAAACUAAAAAAAUAAAAAACUAUUUUUAACAACUGUUUUUAAUAAUUUAAUAAAAAUUAUUAGAACAUAGAGUAUAUAUUUAUGACUGAAUUAGCAUACAAAUUUUUCAAUUUUUCAUUCUUAUUGCACAGUAAAUUAUUACAAAACAGGAUGGGGGAGUAGUUCUUAAAAUUUUCUUAAAUUAUAAAUUAAAUUUUAAGAUCAACUGGAAUUAGUUUCGAGUAUGUAGGAUUUAACACAAAGUGGUACGUACAUAGGACUCUUCAGAGAUAUUGUUUAGUAACAGGUACUGAAUUAGUACAUAAUUCAGAUCUUGGUACCAAAUGAAAUACCUUAUUAAGUAUAAAUAAAAUAUAAAUUAGUUCAUAA